rnacentral:rRNA from 1 species
GAUGAACGCUAGCUACAGGCUUAACACAUGCAAGUCGAGGGGUAGCAGGGUAGCAAUACCGCUGACGACCGGCGCACGGGUGAGUAACACGUAUCCAACCUACCGUUUACUCGGGGAUAGCCUUUCGAAAGAAAGAUUAAUACCCGAUAGUAUAAAGAGUUCGCAUGUUCUCUUUAUUAAAGGAUUCCGGUAAAUGAUGGGGAUGCGUUCCAUUAGAUUGUUGGCGGGGUAACGGCCCACCAAGUCUUCGAUGGAUAGGGGUUCUGAGAGGAAGGUCCCCCACAUUGGAACUGGGACACGGUCCAAACUCCUACGGGAGGCAGCAGUGAGGAAUAUUGGUCAAUGGGCGUUAGCCUGAACCAGCCAAGUAGCGUGAAGGAUGACUGCCCUAUGGGUUGUAAACUUCUUUUAUAAGGGAAUAAAACGGGGAACGUGUUCCCCUUUGCAUGUACCUUACGAAUAAGGAUCGGCUAACUCCGUGCCAGCCGCCGCCGUAAUAC